UCUAUCACUUUGAACCCACAUCUCAUUCACUCAUCCAAACGUGUUUCUUCUUUCCUCUUCUACAAUGUGCGAUUUGGGACCACAAACAAUCAUGGCCACCGCUAGUACCCAAAGAAUAAUAACUUCUUUGUAUUAAUUCUUAAAAAUCGAUUUGCAUAAACUUGCCGCAAAGGGAUUUUUUCGUAAGCACGGUGAACCCUGACGAGAUCAUGGAAACUAUAACAAAAGGAACAUGAGUUAUAACAAAUCAAACAGACUGAGCAAUUUGUUUAGAAUGCCAUAACAGUGUUUUUGGGAAAUCUCAGUCUCAGUGAUCUCUUGAUGGAAGAUGAUCAAGAGAUCUACCGAUCUGGAGUUGUAUGAGAAGCAGGCAGAGUAGUAGGAGGAGAGGCAACAUUAGCACCAACUUGUUAGUUUUUGGUACAAUCACCAAAAAUACAACAUAGCAAACAUGUGUCUGGUUUCACAGAGAUAUCAGUUUCAAGCCACGUUGCUGUGAAGAGAAUAGGGGAAUUUGAUGGUGGGCUGUUUCUAUGAAGAAAAAAUACAAGGAGAAUGAAGCUGAAGUAAAAGCUGCAAAUAUGUGUUCAUUGUGGGAACACUAUAUAAAGGACUCAACAUGGCAUCCAUUGGUGAAACGAGAGAAAUUAUUGAUGAUGGGGAUAAAAGACUGAAUGAGCUUAAAAGAAGCAUUGGUAAAGCACCAUAUAUGGAACUAUGAUGAGAACAGGAGAGCAACUUUGCAAGAGGGAAUACAGUUAAUGGUGGAAAACUCAUAAAAUAAACGCAAGAGGGGAUCAGAAACAAUGGGAAGGAAGGAUUAUUGAUGUGUGAUGAAUGGAAGACAUUAACUCAAGAAAGUGCAUAGUUAGUGAGGAGCUUUUUUGGCAUUGCAGCUCGAUAAUUUGUUGCAAGUCCAACCUUUUGUGUUUACAACUUAAGUAAUUUAUGAUAAUGACAGCUUUUGUAUUAAUCUCUAGCGUGAGAGAAGAUACGCAUGUUAAACUUGUAUGAUGUUGUUUCUGGGUAAUGAGCAUUUUGGGACGAGCGAUUUUUGGCCUCCAUUCAUGUCUUUGUGCCAAGACUGUGAUCGCUGUCAACUUUAUUUUUCUAAAUCAUGAUCAUGACAUUAUUUUCUAAGAGUUUAACUUGGAGUAGUAAUAACAAGGUUCGGGAAAGUUCUAACCAAUUAUAAGGACUUGCUGCGGGGGCGGUUAAUGAUGGAAAGGUUCAAAUUAUUUGGUUUGCUAGCAUGCGUUCUGUGGAAGAAGAGAAAUAAGGUUUCAUUCUGUGGGCGAGUGUUUGAGAAUUUAAUUUUGGUAAAGUUAGGGAAGGUGGUGUGGAAGAUGAUUCAAAAAGUUGUGUGAAUUGAUAUAUGAUUGUCAUCAAUCUGAUUUAGCUAUGUUAUUUUUCGUUCAGUCAUAUGCUACAAUGCUUCAUUUUCGUGUAGUCUUGCUAUUUGAUAUUUGUUGAAGUUUAUCAUUUGAUUUUGAAACGAGGUUGUUCGUAUGAUAAUGCGUUAGAGGGCUAAUGGUUUUUGGUGUAAGCAUAAUUGUUCCC